UGCUCGAUCAUGGGAAAAAGAAUCGAUCCGGAAUAAUUCCAAGAUAAUAGCGAGUUUUCGAUUUUAUUCGAACGAUACGGCACUUAUCGUCGAGCAUCUUAUCGUUCGAUUGACACGUAGAGGAUGGUCUACUGUUGUAAUUGAAUCGAGAAUUUUAGUAGGGGAAUGUAAUCGAAAUAGGAUUUAUCGA